UUACCUGCAGUCCAGUAGUUAGGACUUUGCACUUUCACUGUGGAGGGCACAGGUUUGAUCCCUGUCCGGGGAA
rnacentral:tRNA from 1 species